rnacentral:lncRNA from 1 species
ACCUUUGAAGCCUCUAGAUAAUUCACCUUAAAAAGCCAAUUUUACACAGCUGCUUUCUUCUGGAAAUCAUGCCUCAUUUGAAGCCUUUUGUCUCCCAGCUCCAGUUCCUUAUCCUUCUAAUCUGAGUACAACAGUGUCUUAUCAGAAAGAGCUCCAGGAAGAGCUUGCUUCAAGAGAGAGGAUGCGGACAGAACCUUAAAUGUCAGGGAUAAAUAAAAUUGAUUGUAACUUUUGAAAGAAAAGUGUC